AGGCUAACCGUGCAGAUAUAGUGGCAUUGGAUGCAGGAGAGGUUUAUUCUGCUGUGAAGCAGUUUGAUCUUGUUGCUAUUGCUAAGGAGGUCUACAAUGAUGGUAGCUGCAUCCUAUCUGUUGCUGUGGUAACAAACAGGAGCUUAGACAUACGGUCACUGCAAGGCCUCAGGAGCUGUCAUAGCGGGGCUCGUUGGACCACAGGAUGGAGCCUCCCACUCGGGUUUCUACUAUCCAGGAACUAUCUAAGCUGGAGCAAAGAGAAUCCUCUCAGCCUGGAUGUUGGUUCUUUUUUCAGAGCUAGCUGUGUUCCUGGAGCUGCCACUAUGGCGCCACAUCUG